AGAGUUUGAUCCUGGCUCAGAAUCAACGCUGGCGGCGCGCCUAACACAUGCAACGUCGAACGAGAAAGCCCCUUCGGGGGUGAGUACAGUGGCGAACGGGCUGAGUAACACGUGGGUUACCUGCCCUUAGUGGGGAAUAACUCCGGGUANACUGGGAGCUAAUACCGCAUACGCCCCUUCGGGGGGAAUAGCUUUAUGCGCUCGAGGAUGGGCCCGCUGCUCGAUUAGUCUUGUUGGUGGGGUAAUGGCCUACCAUAGGCAUCGAGUCGAUUAGCCGGCCUGAGAGGGCAUCAGCGGCCACACUGGCACUGAGACAGCUGGGCCAGGUACUUCCUACGCGGAGGCAUGCAGUGGGGAAUCUUGUGACACAUGGGGGAAACCCUGCAUCCAGCGUACGUCCGCUGUGCAUUGCACGAUAGGCCUUCGCGGUCGUAGAGAUCUUUCGGCGGGGGACUAUCAUCGANGGUACCCGNAGAACGCAGGAGCGGCUAACUACGUGCCAGCAGCCGCGGUAAUACGUAGGCUCCAAGCGUUGUUCGGAAUUACUGGGCGUCAAAGCGAGUGUAGGCGGUUUGCCAAGUCGAUUGUGAAAUCUCCCGGCUCAACUGGGAGGGUGCGGUCGACUACGUGGCAGGCCAUAGAGUGCGGGAGAGGAAGCGUAGAAGUUCCGUGGUGCUACGCGGUGGAAUGCGUAGAUAUCAGGAGGAAUACCGGUGGUGAAGACGGCCUUCUGGACCGCAACCGACGCUGAGACUCGAAAGCGUGGGGAGCAAACAGGAGUUAGAUACCCAUGGCUAGUCCACGCCCUAAACGAUGCAUACUUGGUGUGGGCUCAUUCACGGGGUCCGUGCCGGAGCUAACGCGUUAAGUAUGCCGCCCUGGCGGAGUACGGUCGCAAGGCAUGAAACUCAAAGGAAUUGA
rnacentral:rRNA from 1 species